CCCGUACUGAUGUCAGUGUUCACUGUAGGUGUGGCCCAUACUGAUGUACGUGUUCACUGUAGAUGGGGCCCGUACUGAUGUCAGUGUUCACUGUAGGUGUGGCCUGUAUUGAUGUCAGUGUUCACUGUAGGUGUGGCCCAUACUGAUGUCAGUGUUCACUAUAGGUGUGGCCCAUACUGAUGUCAGUGUUCACUGUAGGUGUGGCCCGUACUGAUGUAAGUGUUCACUGUAGGUGUGGCCCGUACUGAUGUAAGUGUUCACUGUAGGUGUGGCCUGUAUUGAUGUCAGUGUUCACUGUAGGUGUGGCCCGUACUGAUGUACGUGUUCACUGUAGAUGGGGCCCGUACUGAUGUCAGUGUUCACUGUAGGUGUGGCCCGUACUGAUGUAAGUGUUCACUGUAGAUGUGGCCUGUACUGAUGUCAGUGUUCACUGUAGGUGUGGCCCGUACUGAUGUCAGUGUUCACUGUAGGUGUGGCCCGUACUGAUGUCAGUGUUCACUGUAGGUGGGGCCCGUACUGAUGUAUGUGUUCACUGUAGAUGUGGCCCAUACUGAUGUAAGUGUUCACAGUAGAUGGGGCCCGUACUGAUGUCAGUGUUCACUGUAGGUGUGGCCUGUACUUAUGUAAGUGUUCACUGUAGAUGUGGCAUGUACUUAUGUAAGUGUUCACUGUAGGUGGGGCCUGUACUGAUGUAUGUGUUCACUGUAGGUGUGGCCUGUACUUAUGUAAGUGUUCACUGUAGGUGGGGCCUGUACUGAUGUAUGUGUUCACUGUAGGUUUGGCCCGUACUGAUGUCAGUGUUCACUGUAGGUGGGGCCCAUACUGAUGUCAGUGUUCACUGUAGGUGGGGCCUGUAUUGAUGUCAGUGUUCACUGUAGGUGGGGCCCGUACUGAUGUCAGUGUUCACUGUAGGUGGGGCCCGUACUGAUGUCAGUGUUCACUGUAGGUGUGGCCCGUACUGAUGUCAGUGUUCACUGUAGGUGGGGCCUGUACUGAUGUCAGUGUUCACUGUAGGUGUGGCCUGUAUUGAUGUCAGUGUUCACUGUAGGUGUUGCCCGUACUGAUGUAAGUGUUCACUGUAGGUGUGGCCCGUACUGAUGUAAGUGUUCACUGUAGAUGUGGCCUGUAUUGAUGUAAGUGUUCACUGUAGAUGUGGCCCAUACUGAUGUCAGUGUACACUGUAGGUGUGGCCCGUACUGAUGUAAGUGUUCACUGUAGGUGUGGCCUGUAUUGAUGUAAGUGUUCACUGUAGAUGUGGCCUGUAUUGAUGUAAGUGUUCACUGUAGGUGUGGCCCGUACUGAUGUACGUGUUCACUGUAGGUGUGGCCCGUACUGAUGUAAGUGUUCACUGUAGGUGUGGCCAUUACUGAUGUAAGUGUUCACUGUAGGUGUUGCCCGUACUGAUGUACGUGUUCACUGUAGAUGUGGCCUGUAUUGAUGUAAGUGUUCACUGUAGAUGGGGCCCGUACUGAUGUAAGUGUUCACUGUAGGUGGGGCCCGUACUGAUGUAAGUGUUCACUGUAGGUGGGGCCCGUACUGAUGUAAGUGUUCACUGUAGGUGUGGCAUGUACUGAUGUACGUGUUCACUGUAGGUGUGGCCUGUAUUGAUGUAAGUGUUCACUGUAGGUGUGGCCCGUACUGAUGUCAGUGUUCACUGUAGGUGGGGCCCGUACUGAUGUAAGUGUUCACUGUAGGUGUGGCCUGUACUGAUGUAUGUGUUCACUGUAGAUGUGGCCUGUAUUGAUGUAAGUGUUCACUGUAGGUGUGGCCUGUACUGAUGUAUGUGUUCACUGUAGGUGUGGCCCGUACUGAUGUAAGUGUUCACUGUAGGUGUGGCCCGUACUGAUGUAAGUGUUCACUGUAGGUGUGGCCCGUACUGAUGUCAGUGUUCACUGUAGGUGUGGCCUGUACUGAUGUAAGUGUUCACUGUAGGUGUGGCCUGUACUGAUGUAAGUGUUCACUGUAGGUGUGGCCCGUACUGAUAUAAGUGUUCACUGUAGGUGUGGCCUGUACUGAUAUAAGUGUUCACUGUAGGUGUGGCCCGUACUGAUGUAUGUGUUCACUGUAGGUGUGGCCUGUACUGAUGUCAGUGUUCACUGUAGGUGUGGCCCGUACUGAUGUAAGUGUUCACUGUAGGUGUGGCCUGUACUGAUGUAAGUGUUCACUGUAGGUGUGGCCUGUACUGAUAUAAGUGUUCACUGUAGGUGUGGCCCGUACUGAUAUAAGUGUUCACUGUAGGUGUGGCCUGUACUGAUGUAUGUGUUCACUGUAGGUGUGGCCUGUACUGAUGUCAGUGUUCACUGUAGGUGUGGCCUGUACUGAUGUAAGUGUUCACUGUACUGAUGUACGUGUUCACUGUAGGUGUGGCCCGUACUGAUGUAAGUGUUCACUGUAGGUGUGACUCGAUGCUGUUGAGCAGUGUUGGACUAUGUCUAUUCUUUACCUCUUCCCUUUGUAAAUGUUAAUGAUAUGCAAUAAAAUUUAACAGGUGUUAACUCAA